GCCUGGCGGCGGCUACACAUGCAAGUCGAGCGGUAGAGAGGUGCUUGCACCUCUUGAGAGCGGCGGACGGGUGAGUAAUGCCUAGGAAUCUGCCUGGUAGUGGGGGAUAACGUUCGGAAACGGACGCUAAUACCGCAUACGUCCUACGGGAGAAAGCAGGGGACCUUCGGGCCUUGCGCUAUCAGAUGAGCCUAGGUCGGAUUAGCUAGUUGGUGGGGUAAUGGCUCACCAAGGCGACGAUCCGUAACUGGUCUGAGAGGAUGAUCAGUCACACUGGAACUGAGACACGGUCCAGACUCCUACGGGAGGCAGCAGUGGGGAAUAUUGGACAAUGGGCGAAAGCCUGAUCCAGCCAUGCCGCGUGUGUGAAGAAGGUCUUCGGAUUGUAAAGCACUUUAAGUUGGGAGGAAGGGCAGUUACCUAAUACGUGAUUGUCUUGACGUUACCGACAGAAUAAGCACCGGCUAACUCUGUGCCAGCAGCCGCGGUAAUACAGAGGGUGCAAGCGUUAAUCGGAAUUACUGGGCGUAAAGCGCGCGUAGGUGGUUUGUUAAGUUGGAUGUGAAAUCCCCGGGCUCAACCUGGGAACUGCAUUCAAAACUGACAGGCUAGAGUAUGGUAGAGGGGUGGUGGGAAUUUCCUGUGUAGGGGUCAAAUGCGGUAGAUAUAACAUGGAACACCGGUGGGCAAAAGCGGAGCACCUGGACU
rnacentral:rRNA from 1 species